UGCAAUUGGUUUUUCCCAUUUCGGGAACUCGAUAGCCGUGUUGCUGUUGUAGUGAUGAUCGUAUUUCAUUUAUCAGCUUUGCGUCGCGGAGCCUCGCCUUGUGACUAGCUCCAGCACGGCACAGUCAUAUGUGUAUGCUCCAUGCAGCAAGCAAGCGAGCUGGAUACGGGUGAAGGGGAAGGUGAAGGUGGAGGUGGGAAUUCGGCUGUGGUGCACCUCGGUUGCGUUACCCAGAGAGGUGCAGCGAGCCCGUGUGCGGCUUCCGUACCUCGUUUGAUUGGUCGCCAGUGUGUCACGGGGCACGUGAGAUCAAUGGCGUGCUGAAACGGGCCUAGGGUGUGG
rnacentral:lncRNA from 1 species